UACGGAGGGUCCGAGCGUUAAUCGGAAUUACUGGGCGUAAAGCGCGCGUAGGCGGCUUGUUAAGUCGGAUGUGAAAGCCCUGGGCUCAACCUGGGAACUGCAUUCGAUACUGGCUAGCUAGAGUGCAAGAGAGGGAGGUAGAAUUCCAUGUGUAGCGGUGAAAUGCGUAGAUAUAUGGAGGAAUACCAGUGGCGAAGGCG
rnacentral:rRNA from 1 species